UACGGAGGGGGCUAGUGUUGUUCGGAAUUACUGGGCGUAAAGCGUGCGCAGGCGGCUUCGCAAGUCAGGCGUGAAAUCCCCGGGCUUAACCUGGGAAUUGCGCUUGAAACUACGGUGCUGGAGUGCGGCAGAGGAAGGUGGAAUUCCACGUGUAGCGGUGAAAUGCGUAGAGAUGUGGAGGAACACCAAUGGCGAAGGCAGCCUUCUGGGUCGACACUGACGCUCAUGCACGAAAGCGUGGGGAGCAAACAGG
rnacentral:rRNA from 1 species